rnacentral:lncRNA from 1 species
UCUGCAUUAUCUGACGUUAUUGUUGGUUUGCCUGACAGAUUCUGAUUGGAAAUUUCAAAUGCAGUUUGCGGCAUUUCUCAAUUCGCAGGAAGUGUGGAUUCUCUAUUUGCACUCAGCAUAAAACUUCUCCCAUCAAAUUCAUUACCAGAGGGAAGUUGCAUUGACUGCAAAGACCCAGGGACAUAUCCCGGGUAUAAACUCAAUCCGUUCCUCAAGGUAAGCAUCUGAAAAGUCAAAGAGAGGAGACAAACAGAGGUUCUAUCCGGGUAUAAACUCAAUCCGUUCCUCAAGGUAAGCAUCUGAACUUGCAGUUGAAGUUGCUUCAGAUACUCAAUGGCUUCAUCAAGCAUAGAUGCCUUGUCUGUUUUGUUAGAAUUUGGGAUUAGAGUCUGCAGUGCUUUCAGUUUCUCAUUGAUCCUACUCAUCCUC